CCGAAAUGUCAUGUGACGUACCUUUCCAACAUGGGAAUCCCGAAACAUCGAGUUGGAUUCGAGUUAGAGUUAAACUUCGAGUUACUUGUACACUGGCGUUUCCGAAUGUUCUGCAGGUAAUGUCCGAACAACUCCGAUUCAUGUUUACUUCUUCGCAACUUCAAACACGUGUUAUUACGUUUUUAUAAAAGUAUGCCGUAUGGAGAAUGAAACACAGCAAUGUAACUUUACUUUAUUAUAAAUCGUUUUUAUAAUGCAC